rnacentral:rRNA from 1 species
AUUGAACGCUGGCGGCAGGCCUAACACAUGCAAGUCGAACGAGUGGCGGACGGGUGAGUAAUGUAUGGGAAACUGCCUGAUGGAGGGAGAUAACUACUGGAAACGGUAGCUAAUACCGCAUACCAUCGGAUGUGCCCAGAUGGGAUUAGCUAGUAGGUGGGGUAAAGGCUCACCUAGGCGACGAUCCCUAGCUGGUCUGAGAGGAUGACCAGACAACCUGGAACUGAGACACGGGCCAGACACCUACGGGAGGCAGAAGUGGGGAAUAUUGCACAAGGGGGGGAAGCCUGAUGCAGCCAUGCCGCGUGGAUGAAGAGGGCCUUCGGGUUGUAAAGUACUUUCAGCGGGGAGGCGGGACCCGCAGAAGAAGCACCGGAUAACUCCGUGCCAGCAGCCGCGGUAAUAC